rnacentral:rRNA from 1 species
GGUUAAGCGACUAAGCGUACACGGUGGAUGCCCUGGCAGUCAGAGGCGAUGAAGGACGUGCUAAUCUGCGAUAAGCGUCGGUAAGGUGAUAUGAACCGUUAUAACCGGCGAUUUCCGAAUGGGGAAACCCAGUGUGUUUCGACACACUAUCAUUAACUGAAUCCAUAGGUUAAUGAGGCGAACCGGGGGAACUGAAACAUCUAAGUACCCCGAGGAAAAGAAAUCAACCGAGAUUCCCCCAGUAGCGGCGAGCGAACGGGGAGCAGCCCAGAGCCUGAAUCAGUGUGUGUGUUAGUGGAAGCGUCUGGAAAGGCGCGCGAUACAGGGUGACAGCCCCGUACACAAAAAUGCACAUGCUGUGAGCUCGAUGAGUAGGGCGGGACACGUGGUAUCCUGUCUGAAUAUGGGGGACCAUCCUCCAAGGCUAAAUACUCCUGACUGACCGAUAGUGAACCAGUACCGUGAGGGAAAGGCGAAAAGAACCCCGGCGAGGGGAGUGAAAAAGAACCUGAAACCGUGUACGUACAAGCAGUGGGAGCACGCUUAGGCGUGUGACUGCGUACCUUUUGUAUAAUGGGUCAGCGACUUAUAUUCUGUAGCAAGGUUAACCGAAUAGGGGAGCCGAAGGGAAACCGAGUCUUAACUGGGCGUUAAGUUGCAGGGUAUAGACCCGAAACCCGGUGAUCUAGCCAUGGGCAGGUUGAAGGUUGGGUAACACUAACUGGAGGACCGAACCGACUAAUGUUGAAAAAUUAGCGGAUGACUUGUGGCUGGGGGUGAAAGGCCAAUCAAACCGGGAGAUAGCUGGUUCUCCCCGAAAGCUAUUUAGGUAGCGCCUCGUGAAUUCAUCUCCGGGGGUAGAGCACUGUUUCGGCAAGGGGGUCAUCCCGACUUACCAACCCGAUGCAAACUGCGAAUACCGGAGAAUGUUAUCACGGGAGACACACGGCGGGUGCUAACGUCCGUCGUGAAGAGGGAAACAACCCAGACCGCCAGCUAAGGUCCCAAAGUCAUGGUUAAGUGGGAAACGAUGUGGGAAGGCCCAGACAGCCAGGAUGUUGGCUUAGAAGCAGCCAUCAUUUAAAGAAAGCGUAAUAGCUCACUGGUCGAGUCGGCCUGCGCGGAAGAUGUAACGGGGCUAAACCAUGCACCGAAGCUGCGGCAGCGACGCUUAUGCGUUGUUGGGUAGGGGAGCGUUCUGUAAGCCUGCGAAGGUGUGCUGUGAGGCAUGCUGGAGGUAUCAGAAGUGCGAAUGCUGACAUAAGUAACGAUAAAGCGGGUGAAAAGCCCGCUCGCCGGAAGACCAAGGGUUCCUGUCCAACGUUAAUCGGGGCAGGGUGAGUCGACCCCUAAGGCGAGGCCGAAAGGCGUAGUCGAUGGGAAACAGGUUAAUAUUCCUGUACUUGGUGUUACUGCGAAGGGGGGACGGAGAAGGCUAUGUUGGCCGGGCGACGGUUGUCCCGGUUUAAGCGUGUAGGCUGGUUUUCCAGGCAAAUCCGGAAAAUCAAGGCUGAGGCGUGAUGACGAGGCACUACGGUGCUGAAGCAACAAAUGCCCUGCUUCCAGGAAAAGCCUCUAAGCAUCAGGUAACAUCAAAUCGUACCCCAAACCGACACAGGUGGUCAGGUAGAGAAUACCAAGGCGCUUGAGAGAACUCGGGUGAAGGAACUAGGCAAAAUGGUGCCGUAACUUCGGGAGAAGGCACGCUGAUAUGUAGGUGAAGCGACUUGCUCGUGGAGCUGAAAUCAGUCGAAGAUACCAGCUGGCUGCAACUGUUUAUUAAAAACACAGCACUGUGCAAACACGAAAGUGGACGUAUACGGUGUGACGCCUGCCCGGUGCCGGAAGGUUAAUUGAUGGGGUUAGCGCAAGCGAAGCUCUUGAUCGAAGCCCCGGUAAACGGCGGCCGUAACUAUAACGGUCCUAAGGUAGCGAAAUUCCUUGUCGGGUAAGUUCCGACCUGCACGAAUGGCGUAAUGAUGGCCAGGCUGUCUCCACCCGAGACUCAGUGAAAUUGAACUCGCUGUGAAGAUGCAGUGUACCCGCGGCAAGACGGAAAGACCCCGUGAACCUUUACUAUAGCUUGACACUGAACAUUGAGCCUUGAUGUGUAGGAUAGGUGGGAGGCUUAGAAGUGUGGACGCCAGUCUGCAUGGAGCCGACCUUGAAAUACCACCCUUUAAUGUUUGAUGUUCUAACGUUGACCCGUAAUCCGGGUUGCGGACAGUGUCUGGUGGGUAGUUUGACUGGGGCGGUCUCCUCCUAAAGAGUAACGGAGGAGCACGAAGGUUGGCUAAUCCUGGUCGGACAUCAGGAGGUUAGUGCAAUGGCAUAAGCCAGCUUGACUGCGAGCGUGACGGCGCGAGCAGGUGCGAAAGCAGGUCAUAGUGAUCCGGUGGUUCUGAAUGGAAGGGCCAUCGCUCAACGGAUAAAAGGUACUCCGGGGAUAACAGGCUGAUACCGCCCAAGAGUUCAUAUCGACGGCGGUGUUUGGCACCUCGAUGUCGGCUCAUCACAUCCUGGGGCUGAAGUAGGUCCCAAGGGUAUGGCUGUUCGCCAUUUAAAGUGGUACGCGAGCUGGGUUUAGAACGUCGUGAGACAGUUCGGUCCCUAUCUGCCGUGGGCGCUGGAGAACUGAGGGGGGCUGCUCCUAGUACGAGAGGACCGGAGUGGACGCAUCACUGGUGUUCGGGUUGUCAUGCCAAUGGCACUGCCCGGUAGCUAAAUGCGGAAGAGAUAAGUGCUGAAAGCAUCUAAGCACGAAACUUGCCCCGAGAUGAGUUCUCCCUGACCCUUUAAGGGUCCUGAAGGAACGUUGAAGACGACGACGUUGAUAGGCCGGGUGUGUAAGCGCAGCGAUGCGUUGAGCUAACCGGUACUAAUGAACCGUGAGGCUUAACCUU